rnacentral:rRNA from 1 species
AGAGUUUGAUCCUGGCUCAGGAUGAACGCUAGCGGCAGGCCUAAUACAUGCAAGUCGAACGGUAAAUAUUUUAGCAAUAGAAUAUGAGAGUGACGUACGGGUGCGUAACACGUAUGCAACCUACCCUUUACAGGAGGAUAGCUCGGGGAAACUCGAAUUAAGCCUUCAUAGUAUAAUUGUAUGGCAUCAUAUGAUUAUUAAAACUGAGGUGGUAAAGGAUGGGCAUGCGUCUGAUUAGUUAGUUGGCGGGGUAACGGCCCACCAAGACGAUGAUCAGUAGGGGAACUGAGAGGUUGAUCCCCCACACUGGCACUGAGAUACGGGCCAGACUCCUACGGGAGGCAGCAGUAGGGAAUAUUGGUCAAUGGAUGGAAGUCUGAACCAGCCAUGCCGCGUGCAGGAAGACGGCCUUCUGGGUUGUAAACUGCUUUUGCCAGGGGCUAAAAAGCUCAUGCGUGAGAAAUUGAAAGUACCUGGUGAAUAAGCCACGGCUAACUACGUGCCAGCAGCCGCGGUAAUACGUAGGUGGCAAGCGUUGUCCGGAUUUAUUGGGUUUAAAGGGUGCGUAGGCGGCCAGAUAAGUCAGUGGUGAAAUCCUAUAGCUUAACUAUAGCAUUGCCAUUGAUACUGUUUGGCUUGAGUACAGACGAGGUAGGCGGAAUUGAUAGUGUAGCGGUGAAAUGCAUAGAUACUAUCAAGAACACCGAUUGCGAAGGCAGCUUACUAGGCUGUAACUGACGCUGAGGCACGAAAGCGUGGGGAUCAAACAGGAUUAGAUACCCUGGUAGUCCACGCCGUAAACGAUGAUUACUCGAUGUUCGCGAUAUACAGUGAGCGUCUUAGCGAAAGCGUUAAGUAAUCCACCUGGGGAGUACGCUCGCAAGAGUGAAACUCAAAGGAAUUGACGG